rnacentral:rRNA from 1 species
GUGCCAGCAGCCGCGGUAAUACGUAAGGACCGAGCGUUGUCCGGAAUCAUUGGGCGUAAAGGGUACGUAGGCGGCUAGAAAAGUUAGAAGUCAAAGGCUAUAGCUCAACUAUAGUAAGCUUCUAAAACUAUUUAGCUUGAGAAAUGGAAG